GGGGAUGUUCCGGUUUCGACAGGCAGGAACGACUUCUGGGGGCAGUGGGAUGGUCUCCUUAUCGACCGACACAACUACAAGUGCCGAUAAACCUGUUAUGUUCCGUGCUCCGGCCAUGAUGGCCUGCGCUGCCUAGUUUUCACUAGUCACGCACUUCGGGAACCACUGAGUUCCCUUGCACAAUCAGAGGAGAGCUUGCCUCUUCGGUUCUUCUGAUUUUUUCGAAUAGGCUUCCUGGUCUAGCUUCCUUUCCUAGAUCAGGUGACACAAGGAAGGAUCGGAGAAGAAGAGCUUCGUCGGUGUCCUCUCUUCUCCUAACCUGACGCCGAAGAAACUGUGGUUCCCCAUUAGAGAUUCCUGUUUGGACGCGGGUUCGACUCCCGUCAUCUCCACCA
rnacentral:tmRNA from 1 species